AGUUUAUUAAGAUAAAAAUUCUGUUAACCUUCAAAGUUAAAAGUGCAAUCUA
rnacentral:tRNA from 1 species